GGGGACUCGAGGUUUAUUUGUCUAGUAGUGUGAAUUGAUUGAAUUUGACUUGAUUGUAAUUAUUUUUGUUUUUAUUUUAUUGCGUUUUGUUUUAUUUUAUUUUUUUUAAAAGUGCUUUUAUGGUUUGUUUCUUAUGCAUGCAGGAAACAAUACAUACUACUAGAAGCAGGAAAAACCAACAACCUUUGCUAGAAGGUCUACCAUACGAAAGGAGGAAGAGACGCCGUUUUUG
rnacentral:lncRNA from 1 species